GAUGAACGCUGGCGGCGUGCCUAAUACAUGCAAGUCGAGCGAAUGGAUUAAGAGCUUGCUCUUAUGAAGUUAGCGGCGGACGGGUGAGUAACACGUGGGUAACCUGCCCAUAAGACUGGGAUAACUCCGGGAAACCGGGGCUAAUACCGGAUAACAUUUUGAACCGCAUGGUUCGAAAUUGAAAGGCGGCUUCGGCUGUCACUUAUGGAUGGACCCGCGUCGCAUUAGCUAGUUGGUGAGGUAACGGCUCACCAAGGCAACGAUGCGUGGCCGACCGGGGAGGGUGAUCGGCCAAACUGGGACUGGGACACGGCCCAGACUCCUACGGGAGGCAGCAGUAGGGAAUCUUCCGCAAUGGACGAAAGUCUGACGGAGCAACGCCGCGUGAGUGAUGAAGGCUUUCGGGUCGUAAAACUCUGUUGUUAGGGAAGAACAAGUGCUAGUUGAAUAAGCUGGCACCUUGACGGUACCUAACCAGAAAGCCACGGCUAACUACGUGCCAGCCGCCGCCGUAA
rnacentral:rRNA from 1 species